UGGGGAAUUUUGGACAAUGGGGGAAACCCUGAUCCAGCCAUCCCGCGUGUGCGAUGAAGGCCUUCGGGUUGUAAAGCACUUUUGGCAGGAAAGAAACGUCAUGGGUUAAUACCCCGUGAAACUGACGGUACCUGCAGAAUAAGCACCGGCUAACUACGUGCCAGCAGCCGCGGUAAUACGUAGGGUGCAAGCGUUAAUCGGAAUUACUGGGCGUAAAGCGUGCGCAGGCGGUUCGGUAAGAAAGAUGUGAAAUCCCAGAGCUCAACUUUGGAACUGCAUUUUUAACUACAAGGCUAGAGUGUGGCAGAGGGAGGUGGAAUUCCGCGUGUAGCAGUGAAAUGCGUAGAUAUGCGGAGGAACACCGAUGGCGAAGGCAGCCUCCUGGGAUAACACUGACGCUCAUGCACGAAAGCGUGGGGAGCAAACAGG
rnacentral:rRNA from 1 species